ensembl:lncRNA
GAGGCGCUGUUCGAGAUCACGGAGUACCCCUCAGUGGAGACUCGUGCCGAGCUGGCGAGGCGCACCGGGCUGAGCGAGGAGACCGUCAGGGUGUGGUUUAAGAACCGCAGAGCUCGGAGGAAGCGUCAGUGAAGCUCGCUCUUCUUCUCCGAGAACAUCUUCACCUCCCAGACUGCCCGCCUGCUGUUCACCUGAAGCCUGCUGUUCACCCUCAAACCUGCAUUCUUCUUAAUGGCCAGUAGGAACACGACCCUUAUUUAUGACACUGCCCCCUGGUGGCAGUACACGAAAAGACUUUACGCUGCACAUUUCUGAGCCUUGUCUCAAUACCACGAUGAACCUCAGGAAGAAUGAAUGAUGAAAUGUUUCGUUCAGACUGUUUGACCUAAAAUUUAAUUUAUAAAAUUCUUCUUUUUCUUUGAGCAUUCAAAAAAAAAAACAAAAAAAAAACGCACCUUUGAAGCAGCGUUUGUAACUUGGAGAGGUUUAUGAAAAUAAAUGGAAUUAUGAUUAAAAUCCAUAAUAUCCAGUUCUGUGUGUUUGUGCCUUUAUUCACAGAAUCAGUAACAUGAUUUGUAAUGUUCUUUGUAUUGAUGCACAUUCAGGAACACAUGACAGGUAGUGUUACUGCAGGGCUGGACUGGGACAAAAAAAUCAGCCCGGGCAUUUUGACUAGUGACCGGCCCACCGUGGUAUUAUAGGAAAAGCCAUAAAGCCUUUGUAAUAAACUUAAACCUACACCGUCCUCACUAUUCUGCUAUUCUAGACAGUACUUAAAAAUAUAAAACAACCUAAUUUAUAAUUACAUAUUCCUCACUAAUAGGGUUGCCAACUCCCAGCAAAAAAAGAAAAGAAAAAUAGGGAACCCUCUGCCUCAAGAUGCUUAACUGACAAAAACGUUUUUAAUUUAAUGCACGUAUAAAACAAAUGCACAGAAAUCUGUUAUUUUUCUCCAGUAAUUAAAUAGAUUCAACAUCUUUCUUCAACAGAAUUGCAGACUGCACAGGUG